GAUGAACGCUGGCGGCGUGCCUAAUACAUGCAAGUCGAGCGAAUGGAUUGAGAGCUUGCUCUCAAGAAGUUAGCGGCGGACGGGUGAGUAACACGUGGGUAACCUGCCCAUAAGACUGGGAUAACUCCGGGAAACCGGGGCUAAUACCGGAUAACAUUUUGAACUGCAUGGUUCGAAAUUGAAAGGCGGCUUCGGCUGUCACUUAUGGAUGGACCCGCGUCGCAUUAGCUAGUUGGUGAGGUAACGGCUCACCAAGGCAACGAUGCGUAGCCGACCUGAGAGGGUGAUCGGCCACACUGGGACUGAGACACGGCCCAGACUCCUACGGGAGGCAGCAGUAGGGAAUCUUCCGCAAUGGACGAAAGUCUGACGGAGCAACGCCGCGUGAGUGAUGAAGGCUUUCGGGUCGUAAACUACUGUUGUUAGGGAAGAACAAGUGCUAGUUGAAUAAGCUGGCACCUUGACGGUACCUAACCAGAAAGCCACGGCUAACUACGUGCC
rnacentral:rRNA from 1 species